GACGAACGCUGGCGGCGUGCCUAACACAUGCAAGUCAACUUGACGGAAGGAGCAAUCUGACAGUAGAGUGGCGCAAGGGUGCGUAACGCGUAAGUAACUUGCCCCAAGGUAAGGAAUAACGUCGAGAAAUCGGCGCUAAUACCUCAUAAUGCAGCGGAUCCGCAUGGAUAUGUUGUUAAAGGUUUACCGCCUUGGGAUAGGCUUGCGUCUGAUUAGCUAGUUGGUGUGGUAACGGCACACCAAGGCUACGAUCAGUAACUGGUCUGAGAGGAUGAUCAGUCACACUGGAACUGAGACACGAUCCAGACUCCUACGGGAGCAGCAGUGAGGAAUAUUGGGCAAUGCUCGAAAGAGUGACCCAGCAACGCCGCGUGGAGGAUGAAGGUAUUCUAUAUCGUAAACUCCUGUGAGAGCAGACGAAAGACAGAUUAUUAAUCUGGAUGACUGUAUGCUCAGAGGAAGCCCC
rnacentral:rRNA from 1 species